UGCAGGUUCCCUUUGGGAAACAGAAACGAGCCUCAAUAUGUGUAGAAAAGAACAGAGUUCAACACUUUUCCCAGGAGAAUUCAAGAACAUUCCAGAUGACUUUUUUUUAACUCCCAAGCUUUUUCCCUCCAAGUGGCUGUGCAGUUCUGUCCUGCUGACUGCUAACAUAGCUUCAUCUCUUCAAAAGACAAGACAACAGUUCAGCUUCCACAAGAUGGAUCCCACUGAUUUUGUUUGACGAAUGGAAUAAAAGUUUUUCUGAUGUAGGAAAUGUGUUCUAUGGGUUUGUUGUUUUACAGCACAUUAUAUUGUAUUGUGACAUUGUUCUUUAUGACAUUGCGAAUAUAUAAAUGGAUUUUAUUUCUACAAAUCUGCUGAAAAUAAAUACCUGUUGUUAUUCACAGUA